ensembl:lncRNA
AGACAGAGACAGACAGACAGACAGAUGCGUGAGAGAGAUACAGACAGACAGACAGACGAGUGAGAGAGAGAGAGAGAGUGAGAGAGAGACAGAUGAGUGAGAGAGAGAGAGACAGACAGAUGAGUGAGAGAGAGACAGAGAGUGACAGAGGGAAACAGCUUGUAAGGCAAAUUGAACAGAACCACUGAAGCAAGUAAGAUCCAAGUGUUUUCCAAAUAUGUCCUUAUUGGCUCACGAACUCAUGAGCUGCAACAAGAGACCAACCAAACGUCUCCUAAUCCAGGUGGUGUGACUGUCAUGUACAUGUGUCACUGUUCCCAUGGCGAUGUGUGCAACAGGCCUCAGCAUAUCACUAAGUCCGUGGCCCAAAUGGCACUACUUCCCAGGUCAAAAGUAGUGCACUAAAUAUGGAGUGACCCAAAUGGCACUACAUCCCAGGUCAAAAGUAGUGCACUAAAUAUGGAGUGACCCAAAUGGCACUACAUCCCAGGUCAAAAGUAGUGCACUAAAUAUGGAAUAGGGUGCCAUUUGGCACUCCGUUUUAAGAUUAAAAUCAAUGGAUCUCCGAAGAACAGAAACAGAUUAUAAAGCAAGUUGGAGGAAAACUGGGGACACCUAAUUAAGAUGUAGCCAGGGCAAACCACAUACAAAAUGUCAGGGUGAUGUCGGCUCUAGAUAAAGCUCAGGGAUAGAAUUAGACUGAAUUAAACUGAAUUAAACUGAAUUAAACUGAAUUAAACAUUCAUUCACGUGGGUUCUAUUCAACUCAUGAGAUAUGAAAAGUUUAAAGACAACAUCGAUAUUUGUUGAUAAUGUUGAAAAACAACAGAGAAGGCUUGUGUAUCUCAAAGCAUAGAAUUCAAGAUGAAUAUUGCUCUCCAAACAGUUACAAAUAACUCUGAUAUACAGUGGUGUUUGAUUUAACACAGAGCCUUCAGAAAGCAUUCAACACCCUUGACUUGACAUGUUGUGCCACAGAUCUACACACAAUACCCCAUAAUUCCCGGGUGGCGCAGUGGUUAAGGGCGCUGUACUGCAGCGCCAGCUGUGCCACCAGAGACUCUGGGUUCGCUCCGGGUUAGGGAGGGCUUGGCCGGUAGGGAUGUCCUUGUCUCAUCGCGCACCAGCGACUCCUGUGGCGGGCCGGGCGCAGUGCGCGCGAACCAAGGUUGCCAGGUGCACGGUGUUUCCUCCGACACAUUGGUGCGGCUGGCUUCCGGGUUGGAUGGGCGCUGUGUUAAGAACCAGUGCGGCUUGGUUGGGUUGUGUAUGGAGGACGCAUGACUUUCAACCUUCGUCUCUCCCGAGCCCGUACAGGAGCAGCGAUGAGACAAGGAUACUGGAGUGAUGGAGGUAGAUAUGUAUAGGGGGAGGAGACAGGGAUACUGGA